AACCGGCUACACAAUUGGUAGUGAAUAACAAAAAAGGCUUCUGAGGAGAAAUACGUUUUGUAUUCUGUACUUUUAUUCAGUCAUUGGCCUACCUGUCCUGGAUGGUGAUUAACACAUAAAAUCACCCACUUUUAGACAAUGAAUAUGAAAGCAUCGCAAGAGCAGCAAAGAUACGAAAGGAAUCGAGGGAAAAUGUCAUGUCCCCAAUGGAAACCCUGGCACACCUUUUGGGACAAAAAUAGUCCCCAAAGUAUGGAUAGAUGAGCCGCUAGAGGGCGAUCGAGCAUUGUUGAAGACAAUAAAAUACAGUGCAGCUGUUACGUCUGUAUGAGACAUGAACUCACACAGGACAUGCACUUGGAGUGAAG